AGGAGGCAGAGGCGAAAAUCAGAGGUCUGCGAGGCCGGUGUGUCCCUAACAGUUCAUUCUAGCUCAAAGGAGCCACUUAAAGUAGUAUACCGACCCCCUAAUACAACGGUAAUAAAACAAGAUGAACUGAUUGCAGCGUCGAUCAUUUGGUGCGUUUAUGAGAUGCCAUGAGAUCCCGAGUGGAUUCCGUAUGACCCCGUGGUGGAAGGGGUGUGGAUGAGGUCGUAGAUGACACAGCUUUGAUCAGGUGUUCGUAGCCAGAGCGUCUCACUGAUCGCACUGCUGAAAGGGGGUCAGUCCCAUGCCCCAAAAGUGGACGUCAGUACCCGUGAUCAGCGUAUGUUCCUAUGUUACGUAGCUGCUCACGGAGCCCUGGAGCUUUGCGCUGUGUCACAUUUCUGUUUUGUCCCUGUGAGCUCCUUCCGGAAACCAUGAUUUUGCAAAGAAAAAAGACAGCUGGACGUCGGAGGAACAUCUUACUUCCUGUACGAGGAAACAGUGACUAUUGAGCACCCACUGAAGGCACAGUUGUGUUUGGGAGUGGGUGCAUCCGGCUUCCUCUGCCACUGACCUGAGCAGCAGCGAAUUUGGUUCCCAUGCUAAGCAGCUGGCUUAUUUGAGGCAGAGCUCUUGGCUGCUUUAGCCUUUGCUUACUGACUACACAGGGAGGGCGUUUUCAAGGCUAUUUAUAAGCCUCUUUACUUUUCUCCCACUCUGCAAUUCUUAUAGGUUAAGUCUACUCUGAAAUAUUUCUUAAUCCUGAGGGGAUUUUGAGGUCAUUACUGAAGCCUUCCUCUAUGUAGCUUCCUCCUUGAGAUCUCCAGAGUAACAAUGAUAAGGCUCAAAGUGAGAGGCAAACAAAGAAGACCAGAGGACAAAGGGAGGGAGCAAAUAUGAAAGCUACCAGGAGCUCUAUUUAUGUGCUUGUUGACCUAUGUAACCAGGUUCAUCCUGCGUGUAGGAAGCUCGCACUUCUCAAUUAUGUAGCCAAGUCCUGGAAACCACACAGCCCUCCCGUUGGCCAAACACUGGGUCUUCUUCACUCACCACUGGCCAUCCCACACGUAUGUAGUGCAAGCAGGGAUUGCUCUAUUUCAAGGCCUCUGGCUCCAGCUAUCUGAUGGGGAAGGAGUUCCACUGGGUCUACUGCCUUUCUCCCCAGGGGUUUUCCUGAGGCUGGGGUGCUCUGGACUGGGGCAAAUUCACAUGAUCCCUCUUCUGUCCUUCUCACACUCUCUCAUCACAGCUAGGUUUUAUUUUUUCAUUGCUUGUUCUUUUUUUUUCUUUUCACUAACCCAAAUUCUUUACGUGAGCUCCAUCCCCAGCCCCUUUUUAAUUCUGAGACAAGAUCUCGGCUGGCCUUGAAGUGGUGAUCCUCUUGCUCCAGCCUCCCGGAGUACUGGGAUUACAGGCAUGCUAAUGCGAAGCACUUUAGCAAUCUCUUCUUUCCUUGUCCUUACUUACAAUGUGCUCAAACACUUAUGACAUUUUGCUUAGAAAAGCAGGUCCCUCUCAGAGUAUUUCCAGCACCAGGUGUUAAUGUAAUGACAGGCUUGCUCUCUGCCUGCUUACCUGUCUGAUAAUUCUGAAGGGACAGGGACAGGGGUGUUGCUGAGGGAAAAGAAUUUGGGGUUCAAAUAUGAAUGUGAUCUUGCUUGGAAAGCAUGGCCCUUCUCUAAACUGAACUGCAAAAUAAAUAGUCUAUAAUAUAAUAAUUGAAUAGUUGCUUUACUAAAACCGGUAACUGUUAUUUUCAAUUUCCCUCUGCCCUUUUUCUCAUGAUUUGGAAUGCCUUUUCUUUGAAAAUAAUGAUGUUACUUUAACCUUUCACCAUAUUCUAACAUUUUACCCGUUUUAAUCCAAAGUAAAAGAAGCAGAAAGGAGUUUGCCGGGAAUAAGGAAAAUCAGCGGAAGCAUUAAAAGAUCUGGUUGGGAGUCUUGGCCUCUACUCUCCAGAAAACUCACCUGGGACAGUCAGGCAGCAAUGUGGCCACAUCAUUAUAAGAAACUGUAGUGGUUCUGCUAGAUGACACGACCUGUGAAACACCUAGGAAAAUACCACUGAGCUUGAAGUAGGUCACUUUGGGUAGUAGACUUUUCCAUAUUUAAAUUGACUUUAGACUGUCUGCAGAUCUAGGUAAGCCAGUUUUAAAAGAAAUACAAAGAGCACAGGAGAGGAAAUAGAAACUCUACACUUCUCCACUUCUUUUUUAAAAUUUCUCUUUAUUUUCAAUCAAUAUAAUGUUUGCUAUGCGAAGUAAUUAUUUUCGUCUCGGGGAAUUGGUACAUAUGCCUAACCCAUCUUGUGUAUUUUUCUUUCCUGUUUUCUAUUUCUUAACUUUAAAGAAGGACUUUGAUUUUUCAAAUCAAGGAAUGGAAAUGAAGGAAGAGGAUCACAAAUUUGAGUCCAAUCUCCGCAACCUAAAUGACUCCAUUGUAUCGGAAUCGGAUUGGCAAGUCGCUAUGAACCGAACUCCAGACCUUCUUUGGACUCCACUUGUUUCCCAUGAGCGUCCUUUCUCCACGCCAGGAUUCUGCAGAGUCGCUCAUCUCAUCUCCUUGGACUCCCCUGGUCUGUGACAGUGCAUCACUCCUCCCUUGUUUUUCAUGACCUUGUUAGUUUUGUGAAAUCAGAGAUUUUUCAGUACUGGGGAUUGAACGCAGGGUUGCUUUAGCACUGAGCUACAUCCCCAGCCCUUUGGUCUCUUCGUUUUGAGACAGGGUCUCACUAAGUUGCCCAGGGGAGAUUUGAACUUUUGAUCCUUCUGCCUCAGCUUUCCUCAGUGCUGGGAUUUCAGGUGUGUACCACUGCACUCGACUAGAGCUUUUUAAUUGUCUGUCUUUUAUAAUUUAAUUAUUUUAGUUUAUAAGUAUACUUUAAAAAUACGAUUUAAAAAAAAUAGCCUGGAGAUUACCUGACAAAUAGCAGUGUCCACUGUUACCCAAUGGGAGGCCAGCUGUCCUGAGACAAAAUGGCGGGCGCACCUGGGAGACAGCAACUGGCUGCUAGCAAAAUGGUUAGCAAGUACUUCUUUAAAAUGAAAGUUUAUUGGAGUAGAGCUGGAAGGGGGCUAUUUCCCCCCAAUUCAAAGUUUCUGGUGACUUAAUUGAAAAGAGAGCAUUCAUUUCUUCAAACCCUGGGCUAAAAGGGUUGGAGGAGAUUCAGGAGUUGUGUUUUAAGAAAGCAUCUUCCUCCUUAGAACUAACUGGGGUGCUGUUCCUGAAGCAGGAGGGAAAUGAGUGAGCUUCCGGAAAACAUUCGCUCUCCACAGCCACCAGGAGAAGAAGAGAAGAUGAAUGGUACCGAGGAAAGAGCAACAACAACAAAAGAUUCUUUUCCCCCAAGGAUGGCACCAGAGGCUCCUCACCUGGGUCAGCCUCCCAGGCAGGAGCUUCCCAGCAGCGCCUUUGAAGAACAGCUUAAUUGGAGAGAUGACAGGAAACUAGGAGGUAGACUUUGGGAGCUAGGGAAAGGAAUGGCAGGGGAGGAGUGGGAGAAGGGGGUCAUGGGACAGAAAAGAUCAGAUAUGUUAAGUGCAUGUACCAAUUUUCCAAAAUGAACCUCACCAGCCUGUAUAACUAACAUGCACUAAAACAAACAGACAGAUAGAUAGACAGAUGACAGCUUUAUUAAGAUUAAAUUCCCAUGCUGUUGUUAGUGUACUACCCAGUGUUUUUUUAGUAUGUUCACAGCUUGUACUGCAUCACACAAUCUAACUGUAGAACAUUUUGGUGCCCACCCAUCCCCACUUUCUGGUCCUGCAACUGCUCAUUUAACUUCUCCCUCCACAGAUUUGCAGGUGUUGAACAUUUCACCUGAAAAGGAAUUAAUAAAUAUGUACUCUUUGUAUCUGGGUUUUCCCACUUAGCAUGAAGUUUUUAAGGUCAGUCUACAUCGUAGCAUGUACAAGUACUUCACAGCAAGCAGUGUUCCAUUGAAUGCAUAUGCCAUAGUUUAUUUUUAAUGAGUUACCCAUAGAAAGGGGAGGAGAAAGCUCUCUCUUAUUCUUGGAGUCCUUUUGUUACCAGUUUACUGCAAGAACCGCAGCCUUGAUUCUGAAAAAUUGGCCCAGGGGUUGAGGGCUUGGUUACAUCCUGCCCCAUUUCCCUGUUGUUGUUUUGCAUCUUUACCCACUUUAUUGAGCAGGCCUCAUCAUAGAUUGCUGUCUUCUCUUGGGGCAUACCAGUUUCUUUCAUGUUAAGUGUUUCGGUGCCAUAGGCUGCCUGGAUGAUCCACAUUAUCACAACUCCAAUUGUUGCAGUUGCCACCCACUCUAUUCCUGUCCCACCGUAGUUCUCCCUGGCCCUUGUCCCAUGAACAUUUACUGAGCCCAAUGUCCUCUGCUUGAGAAACAGCAGUGCCACUCAGGAGUACCUGAUGCCCAAGUAUGUGCUCAAGACUGCUGAAGUAGUAGCAGGAUGGCACCAAGGUGGUUAUCGUAUCUCAGUGUUCAAUUCUGUACCCCAUCCUUGCUGAAGGAGCAAGAAUUGUAGAGUCAGAAAGACUCAGGCUUCCAUCUUGGCUCUAGGGCUUCAUAGUUAUGUGGUCUGGGACAGGUUGUAAAUUUAUCUAAGCCUCAGUUUCCUCAUAAUCUUUCAAUGAAAAGGGGUCUAAUGCACUAACUCUCACAGAUUUUGUAAGGAUUGAUUUAGAACUGGGUUAGAUGACUUCACUUUUAAUAAGCAUCCUAAAAUUCAGAUUAAGAAUAGUUUCCAAAUAUCAUUUUGAGAAGCAUGGCAGUAGGUCAUAGAUACAGAAUCCCGCAGCAUGCAAUUUUUAUAUUUUAUGAGUUGAUAUUUGAAAAUCACUCUGAACAUGGCUCGGUGUGUAAGGAAUGCAUUUGUUAAAAAUGGAAGUCUCCUGUUUUUCUUCCUUUUAGAUAGUAAGGAUCUAUGAACCAUUGGCUAAGGCUUCCAUGAGAAGAAACUGGAAAACCACUGAUAGGAUGCUUCUGGUCACAGCAGGAGCUGGGGACAUUGGAUUAAUUCUGGAAACACUGAAGCAUGAAAAAUGACCAGAAGCUGAAACAGCAAAGGCAAACUGCCUAUUGUUCUUCCCCCACCCAGCUUCAAUCCAGCAUCACAAUCUCUGCCCGUGUCCCAUCUCCUGUUCCUCACUUCCCUUUUCCCGGUCCACCUGAUGCCAGUGAGAGAUGACCCCUGACACCUUCAGAGAAGUGUGUGCUGGCCAUGGUCCCAUUUUCCUGAGUGUGGGCUCUGUGGGGGCCUCGGGACAGUAAAGGUGGUUUCUCCUUUCAUCCUCCUGGAGGAGGCGCAGUUGGAACGCCGAGGUUUGGCAGGGUUGAGAGACCUUUGGGGGUAGAUUGUUUCUUGCCUUUGGAGGCUGCUGAGCCUCCUAACCAGCAGAAGCUCUCACUAGGUUUCUGCUAUCUAGCUAUGUUUGCAGAUUUGGGAUUGCAGUGAGGAUCCUUCUGAGCCUAGAAAAUAGUUCCUAGACUUGGCUCCAUGAGACCAGUUGGCAAGUCUCAGGUUCUGAGUUGGUUAGAUGUGGUCACAAUUUGGUCAUUACUUACUCUUUUCAUUUGCAGAAGCAUAAGUAUUUUCAGAUUGGGUACUACACAGUUAAAUCUGCACAUUUGAUCUGCAUUACCUGGUUUAGGCUUACAGCCAGGAAAAUUGCUUCCAUGCAAUAUGUAUCUACAUGUUCCUUUUUUUCAUGACUAAAAAGUCUGGGUAUAUAGAAUUAGAUAGAUAUUGAUUCAAGUCAGAAAAGAGCAUGUGUGUCUCUUGGAGUUGGUGAUACAGAAUGGCUUGGAGAAAAAGAAGAAUCUCUUGACUCCGCAGUUAAUUUUAAGACUUAAAUAAGAUUCUUGGGUUUGUGGUUGACUUGCAUGUUGAGUGAGUGAGCGAAUGCUAAAGUCACUUUUGUGCUGGAAUCUUACUGUGGAUAUGAAAAUUUCACUCCCUUUCUUCCAAACCAAUUUUACAUUUCUUUUUUAAAAAUUUUAAAUUUUUAUUAUUAUAUGUUUGCGUGCUUACAUUCAUCGUAGGGAGUUGGUACAUGUUCAACUUUACAUUUCUAACUUAAAGCUGUGAAUUGAUUAAACUGGAUGGCAGGAAUAGAAUGCAUACACAGGUCUUUACAUUGUUCAAUAGGUUUGGAUUUUCCCUUUGGGGAAAUUAAAGAAAAAAGAGCUGAUUGGCUUAGGUCCCAGCAUCAGGAAACUACCUGCUCUGUCAGGCACAAUAGGGAAAACUAGUGAUAAAGGGCCUGGGAAUAGUUUAUCACUAUGAUUUCCCAAGGAGAAGAGAUCAGGCAGCACAUGGCAGCAGGGCACUGUGACCUGAACAAGGAUUAUAGAAAAGAGGAAAGUUCCAAGGCCGGGAAACCACCAUCCUGAAUAAUAGCAAUCCCGUAACUCUGUCCACAGGAAAGUACUGAGGGUAGUUUUGAGCCCUUCUCAUUUUACAGAGAAGAUUCUGGGCAGUUGAAAGCCCUUUUCAUGGUGAGCUCAGGGAAAUGAACAUAGAGGCAUAAGUACAGAUUUUUUCUUUUUCAUAGUGAAUCCAAAGAUUUGUAGAAAUUUUCCAAGGAAGUGAUUCUUUGACUUUUUGGAAUUGUGGAUUCUUUGAAGUCUUUGAUGAAAACUGCAGCCUGCCCCCACUCAAACAAACAAACAAACAAACCAACAACAAACAAAACCAAAAAACAUGUGUACAGGUAUAUCCAACAUUGUACCUACAAUUUUCAAGUUUGGUAACCAUCUUGAAGCCCAUCUUUAGGGGUCCCUAGGGAUCUCAAAAUUUUAGGUUAAUGAUCUUUCAUUUCAGAAGUACUAUAUUGCAGUAAACUUCAAUGAGCGAUAGUUAUGAAGCAUGGGUAGUGAGGAAAGACCUUGUAGAAGACAGUUACUUCUACAUAGCAAGGCCAUGGAGAUUGGGAACAGUCAUAGGGCAACAGAUGGAAGGAAAGUUACAAGGCUGGAAAUAAAACAAAACAGUGGAGGAAGUAUGAGGUUUGAAAGAGGGUAAGUCCGUACUGGAUUUCUAAUUCUGCCACAUUGGAGGAUGUGAACUUGGACAAGAGCAUGUACCAUGAUGCUUGGAGUCCACUGGCCCUUGUCUUUCUCCUUCUGUGGUCAAUAUGGAAGUACAGAUGGUGGGGUGGAAGCAGCAUGAGCUGCGGGCCUGGACUGAUCUGGGUUUAAAUCCCCUCUUUGGAUAUCAUUAGUUGGUGAGUUUGGGACAGUCAAUUUUCCGAGUCUUUCACCUCUAAGAAAACUAUAGAAAUGUACCCAAGCAAUUAUGCAUAUAUAAGUAAAGUGUUAUAGAGAACUCUAAUUAUUAAUAGCUUUUAUCAUUGCAAAAGAGACCACAUCAACUUCAGUGGAGGUUAUAUCUUGAGAGGAAGUGGUAGAGCUACAAAGGAGACCUAAUGCCAAAUUGUAAAUAUCACAGAGCUAAUCAGCUCUGCCCAUUAAAAAAAAAAAAACAACUUUACACCUUUAAUGUUUAUAUUAUAUAAACUGUAUAUAAGAUAUAUACUGUAUAUCUUACAGUCUGAAUUUCUGUUUAAAAUGUUUGAAUAUUUUUUUGGUUGCUCACAGAUUAAGAAUGGGAAUAGUAGGAAAAGACUGCAUUUUUGGGGAUUCUUCAGGUAAUAGAACAGCAAGACUGGUUGGGCAAGGUGAUUCCUGGGUUGCCUGGUUCUGCCAAUGAUUAACAACUUUGCAACGGCCACUUGAGAUUCAUGGACUUCAGUUUUUCUAACUGAUUCUUAAGGGAGUAUAUGAGACAUAUUUUCUUCUUGAAUUUUAAGCUUUUAGCAUUCUGAGGUUCUAUAAUGUUAAGAUAUUUUGUAGAGCUCCCCCGCCGCCAUCCCAAGCUCCUAGGGCAGAGAAGCUGAGUGGGUCCCAGCACCUGGAAGG